rnacentral:lncRNA from 1 species
GGGAGACCUGCAGAGAGUGUGGGUGCUAGAGCCUUCUGCAGGGCUCAGGACACAUUCCCCAACACACCCAGGGCCAAUAAUUUGCACUGGGAUACAGAGAGGAGGCUCGGGGCCUCUGUCAACAGAUUGCCAUCCACUUAGAUGAGUAAAUGGGUGCUGGCCCCGUGGUGUGGUGACAUCUGUCUGUCUGUCUGGUCUAGCAUCCAGCACAGUCCUGGGCACAUGAAUUGGUGCUGAUGCUGCUGAAGGAGUGAAUGCAGGCCAGAAGGAAGGAGUGCUGGGGAAGAAGUGAGCCAUGGAGCAGGGCAGGAACCACGGACAGAGGCCUCCCAGUUCACUCGGGGACAUAUCCGCAGAUGUGAGAACUCAGAGAGAUGUUCAAGUUUCCUAAGAGGGCUUCAAUCAUGGCUCACAGGACUACUAAUUUCCAGUUUCUUCUCUACCAGUCUGGAUGCCCAUGGUGAACUUUAGAGAUAUCCAUCAGCUCCAUCAAUUCCCUCAACUACAUCUACCUAGCUUUUGAGCCCAGAAGAACCCAAUCAUGUGUGUUCUCCUCAGCUCCCAGGCUGCUGAGCAAUGCUGGAGAAAAAUCACAAAACUAUACAGUUUGGUAUCUCUCCAGAAUUAUGGUUUCCAGCUUGAGUUGGAAAUUCAGAAUUACUUCAAAAUGUUUAAAUUUGUUUCUGGUCAGUUUCCUCCUUCAUUUCCCAGUUUCAUUUAUCACUCUAUUUAACUUGUUACCCAUCGCUGUCUGCUAUUAACCUUGCCUCCUUUUACACGAGAAAACAGAGGCCAUCAAAUGGCAUUUCCCAUCACUCCAUCACUCCACCUCUGUCAAUGAAUCCACCAGUAACAUCUCAGAGAUCCUUCUGUCUAGCACUGAUGAUCUUAUUGUAUCAGUUACUCCUUCUUCCUUUUGUAUUUUCAAUGCUCCU